UCUAUAAAAAUAAAAUCAGUGUAGUGUAUUUGUAUAGCAAAUCUGUUGAUAGAUUUGUUCAAUUUGCUAUUGUUAAGACAUUCUGAUCUUUUUGGGAUAUCGGUCCCUUCUUUACAUGGUCUGAAGAGAGCUCUGCCCAUGCCUGCAUCACAUUUUCUGAAAGUCAUCUCUUUCCUCAGAUAAUGCUGGGUAGUCUGAGUUUCAGACACUAAGGUCUUCAUUCUAAAGGAACAGUAAGUGCUGGAUUGGCUGAUAUUUGGGGGUUUAUCUUUGAAAACUGGAUAAGAACCGAGGAUAAGACUCAAGAGUUGUUUUGUGGGGUCCUAUUUAGAGCAUACACUUUGGAAAAAGUGAUUUGGAAUGUAGCUUCUUUCAUUUUUGUGGGGGGAAAAGGCCAUUAAAUAUUAUCAGGGACCUCAUUGCUUAUGUCCUGAUGAAUCUUUUUUCUUCCCCCUUAAACUCCCUGGCACAACUGCCCACACUGUGUCCCACACUCAGUCUCUCUUGAAGCAGUGGGACUUCAAGUGGCUCCCCAGCAGUAAUGAGUUUGUGUGGAUUUACCUACCCUGUCCCAGCCUCACUGUUCAGCCUGGCUAGUACUUCAUUCAUACCCACAUCCAGUUGGGUUGGUUGGCCCCGACACAGAAGGGUGUUCACCGAGCGCUGCAGGAAUGAACAUUGUAUUCUCAGCUGUGCCAUAAUAGCCCACUUCUUUCUCUGCCUUGUGUGAUAAACAUUUUUCUUGAAUCUGUUAUGAGCAGGUACUGAGCUGAGAGUUGGGGAACCAAAGACGGGUAAGAAUUAUGCUGGCCUUGUGGUGUGGGUGGGUAAGCCAACUCCAGCAUAAAUCAGAGGACCUGCCUACAGAAGUAUUUUGUUUGACCUUUGCAAUGUUUUAUAAACGUUUGAAUAGUUUCCAUGGGACACAGCCUUGAGUUCCCCACAGGUCUCCCACACCCUGCCCGAAUCCCGCUGGAGCUGGUGACCUAUGAAGUCUGCUGUGAUUGCAGUCUAAACACUAUCCCCUGAGACGCCACAAGCAGAGGGCUGGCUCACUGGAGGUUGAAGGUCAGACAUGGAAAUAAACAUGCAUGGAAGGUCCUAAGUCUAGUGUCGCCUAGGGGCCUUGGGAGGCUUCAGCAGGCAUGGUGAGUGUUACCACCAAACCUUCUUGGGAAUAUUUUAGUGAAGUUGGAAUAGACCACAUUCAUACUCAGCUUGUCAAAUUUGGCCUGUGCUGUGAGAUUCCUAAGUGACCCUUUGUCAGUGGUUCUUGAUGGUUGAUAGGACUCUGCACACAGUGUGCCUGCCUCCUGUUACAAGAAGUAUAUGUCCUACAUUCUGAGAUAAAUACUGGGUAUAUGCAACUUUUUGUUUUGUUUUGGUUCUCAUAUAUCAGGGAUAUAGAACUUUCAUUUAUUGAAGAUUAACUAACAAAAUCUUCCAGGUAGUUCCCAAACAAAACCUGAAAACCAGAAACAGGCGCAGCAGCAGUUCUUGACGUGUGGGUUACAAACUCUGUGGGGGUUGAGCCACCCUGUCUCAGGGGCCACAUAUCAGAUGUCCUGCAUAUCAGAUACAAUUCAUAACAGUAGCAAAACUAUAGUUAUGAAGUAGCAGUGAGAAUAAUUGUAUGGUGGGGCACCAUACCAGGAGGAACUGAGUUAGAGGGCUGCGGCGUUAGGAGGGUGGAGCCCCGCUGCCCACAGAGAAGGCCUCGCCGUCGCCGGUAUGCACGGGUCCUAGUACAACCACUUUAGCCCAUGUCCAGUAUGUGUGUCCAUCGGUUUAUGUUCUCAUGCUGUCAGACUCAGACAUGCUACUUCAGAACCAGCCUGUGCUGCCAUCCCUCCAAUUGGAAUCUCUUGUUACCCAGCAUCCCAUGGAUGAAGAGAUUUCCUCUACCCUGCCCUCUGAAUCCAUCACUAAUUUCAUAUUGGCUUUUCCAGGAAGAGCAGCACUGUAGCAAUAUUUUCAAAACAUUACUUUCCAUGACAUGAGGAGCCCAGAUGUGGGGACACCUCCCCAUCCAGAUGUUGCAUGUAAGACAUUCACACCCUACUACACACAUCUCAGCUUCUAGUUCUCCUUUCUGUGUGUGGCUUGCUGGAUGCUAAGCCGUGAGCUGUAGCUCGUUUGCCCCAUCUGCAUGCCCCGCGGCAGUCUACCUCUCUCAGGUAUCUAGUGAUUCUAAUGAUGUCCUGGGUUGUUCAUGGCUCUCCUCAGUGUAUUCCAUCAGCACCUUGCCUUGUGCUGUCAGAGGUGAAUGAUUCCUUUUGUCCUCCUUUCCCCAAACCUGAUAUCCACAGCCACCCCAGACCAGGCCUCCACAUCCCCUCCCCCCCCAAGAUCUCGGCUUGUCCUGGUAGGGAUUCUGAGUUCUUGUUUUCAGAGAACAUUUUUCUGUCUUAAUGCCUUCUGGAGGUUGUUCCUGAAAAUCCUGACCUUGGCAUCCAUAGAACAGAGCACCAGGGCAAGCAUCAUCAGCCCCAGGAGUUGUUGGUACAGGCUCUUCUCCGAAUGAAAUGUCUGUGUGCAAUGAGUGCUAAGAGCAGCAGGGCUUUCUUCCAUUCAAGGCUGAAGAUGUUGCCAGUGCUCACUGCCCUUCGGAAACAGAUGUGCUGAUCGGGGUUCCUCUGGUCAUACCCAGGAGACGAGUUCAUGAGGGCUUCUCUUGUCAGUGAGCUGGAGGCAUCUGGAAUGAAUUGGUUUACUUCCAUGGAUGUGCAUCAUGAAACAGGUGUCCCUGCUACCUCCCCACCAUGAGCUGUGAGUGGCAGAGUCUCUGCUGUUGGUCUCCUGCUAAAACUAGCCAAUCAAGUGUCUGAGAUGGUGCCUGGCUUCUGCCAUGAGGAGAACCAAGGGAACCAGGCUGAGCUGCUAUGGCGCCAUCCUGACAGGGAGUUGGGGAGACACCCAGGCUUGGGUGUCUGUCUGAAGACUGGAUGAUGGUGCUGGGAAUCAGCAGAGACUGAACAAAGCAGAGGAAGCAGGAGCUGUGAUUAGAAGCACAGGUACAUCUCGGACACACCUACUUCAGAGGGUGUCUGGAUGCCAGCCUGGAAUACAUCAGCAUCCGCACCCUGUGUCGGCGUCCUCUAAGGUGGGGAAGCCUCUGGUUUCAGAGGGAUUCUCAAGUUUGCUGUGGCUUAGGUGACUGCAUUGCCAGCUCAGGUACAGAGUAUCAGCAUGCACUCUCCCUCUCCGAAUUCCUGGCAAUCAGCAUUUUGUGAGUCUCACGGCUGCUCGAUGAUGAGGCCUUUUCAUCUCCCUUCCUAGAUUCAAGCUCUUUGGAACAAAGACCAGAUUGUUCUAGAGUCCUGGAUAUAGUGCUGGACAAGACACGCUGUUCUUUGGGUGCAUGUUUUUGGUGAAAAGGUCAUGGAAGAUGUAUCCCUGGGUCCUGGGGUUACAUGUGGGAAGUUACCUGCUUGGGAAGGGUUGUUGAUCCUAAUGCCAGGACCAGAGACUUAUGUUUACCUAGCAUCCAGCUAUCAAGGGAAAUCAAGACAACAUGGCAAAUCAUAGGCCACAAAGCAGAUAGCUUGUGAACUUACUGAUUAUUCAGUAAAUUCUGACGUUGUCAAAAGACACACAAGUAUUCAUAUGUUUCUGACAUAAAAAGAUCUUCUCUUCUUACAGUCAAACCCUCCAGCUGGAGCAAGCCCUGAACCAUUUUUAUCUGGGGUGAGUUGUGAUGUAUUGAAGACAAGAAGGGCCAUUGCUUCAGUAGG